UUACGUUGGCAAGGGAUAUCGACCUAGGCAUGAUAGCUUCUAUGACUGAAGGAUUCAGUGGUGCUGACCUUCAGGCUCUUUUGUCAGAUGCGCAGCUUGCAUUAGUUAAUGAGCUUGCGAAUAAUAAAGAUAAUAAAGAGCUUAAUAUGAAUGAAGAGAAGCCGGUUAUUAGUGAUGAAGUUCUGAGGUCAGUUACUUCAAAAGCAAGGCCAUCAGUAUCAGAAGCUGAGAGGCAGAGACUUAAUGGGAUAUAUAGUCAAUUCUUGGAUUCAAAGAAAUCUGCUACCGCACAGUCUAGGGAAGCAAAGGGGAAAAGGGCGACACUUGCAUAACGUCAUGCUCUGAUCUUGUCUCACACAAUGCAUUUCAGGAAUUUCUUUGUAUUGUUCUAGUUCUAGUUAACCAACAAGGAGUCAGGUACAAGAAUGAGCUGGCCAUUUGUCAAGAAAGCAUGACACAACCUUAAGUUGCUAUUAAAAAAAGAAAAAAAUGACAUUCAACAAUACCAGAAGCAGCAGUAUAUUCAGGUGUUCUUUCCUGACCCACUAAAAAGCAUGUAUAGAGUUUCGGUUGUUAGAGUUUCUUCCUAGUGUUCUAGUUUUAGUGAUGGUUAGAGUUUCGGUUGCACAAUUGGAAUAAUUUUUUCUUAUUUGGUAGGAUUAGGAAUUCUCAUACAAGAAACACUACACAGAUAGCUUAUCAGACCACCAUAGUUUCUCACACUUCGCAUAAUGAUAUUAUUGAGAUACGUGUUGUCUCUGGCAUUUAGGGGUCUCGUCUAUUAACUUUCGUCUUACAUUUCCAUUCAUUUAAUUACAAUAAUCUCUUUUGUUCAUGAUUUGAAGUAGCAGCCAAUUGGCAUGCAGUGAAAGAAAUAAACAAAUGUUAUGUGAAUGGAACAUAAUAUAGAUUAUGUAUAUUCACCUCAAAUGAAACAUUAUAUGCUCUCUUCU